UAAUAGCGUAUAUUAAAGUUGUUGCAGUUAAAAAGCUCGUAGUUGGAUCUCGGGGCCGGGCCAGCUGUCCGCUAACGCGAGAUGGCUGGGCCAGCCCUUUCUUUCCGGGGACCACGUUGCUCUUCGUUGAGGGACGCUGGGACACGGAUCGUUUACUUUGAAAAAAUUAGAGUGUUCAAAGCAGGCCUUCGCUUGAAUACAUUAGCAUGGAAUAAUGGAAUAGGACUUCGGUGCUAUUUCGUUGGUUUCUAGAACCGAAGUAAUGAUUAAUAGGGAUAGUUGGGGGCGUUCAUAUUCCGUUGUCAGAGGUGAAAUUCUUGGAUUUACGGAAGAUGAACUUCUGCGAAAGCAUUCGCCAAGGAUGUUUNCAUUAA
rnacentral:rRNA from 1 species